UCAGAGGAGGUGACAGAGGACUGGCUAUGAGUAUCCAAUCUUUGUGGACAGUUAUCUGCAGGAGGAUGAGGUCUAGUGAAGGUCUAGUGUCAGAUACUUUCAACUUCUCCUCAGUUAUGUGUGACGUAUCCUCCACAAGCAUUCCUGGUCAUGAGAGUCUAGUCACUGAUGCCCUCCAUCAUCUGCAGUCUAAGGUCUCAGGUUUCUGUUCAUAUUUGUCACUAUGAGCAUCAGUAAAGGAAGUCUUGACCUGGAUAUCCUGUUUCACCUCUCUGAAUGACUCUGCUGAUGGGCUCGGAGUAUGGUGCUUUCUCCCUCUGUGUUUUCUGUCUGUGUUCAAACCAUUACGGUUUGUUCAUUUCAAAGUGAAACCACUUUAUGCCAAAAGAUUUAUACAAAACAUCAGUCACGAGUUUCUGUAGACACCUACAGAGCACACAUUAACCCUCACCUGUACUGGUAAAAUGUCAUACUUCUUCAUUGCUUUGGUUACUAUAAAGCCUGAGGUGGGGAGAGCACACCUCCACUUCAUUUUUAUUCACAUACCAUACAAAGCAAGUGCAGGAAGAGUAUCAGCAGAGACCUCUUGGCCCUGCUCUGAGGGCUGCCCACCCAUCUGUCUUCACAUCUGGGACACAAAGCCAGAAGAGGGAAGAGCACACCUCCCUCUGUUUUAUGUGCAUGCAGGUUGGCUGCAACCAACUAUUUUAAAAUGAGAGAAAAGUCACGAGAUUCCAAUAAAUAUUUGGUGUGAAAUAACUAAUUGAUGAGAAUAGUUGCAAGGUAUUGACCAGGAUAAUUUGGAGUGGGCAGGUUUUUCAAGAGGAAGGGAUCCUAGCACACAUAAACCCUCACCUUUAUUCUAAUGCUUUGAAUACAUAAAAUACUAAAAAAAUACUAGUUGUGGCAUUUGGCUAAACGUUACAACUCGUUAAUACUGUAAUUGUUGUUAUUUUAAAGCUUGAGGCAGGGAGAGCACACCUCUUUUCCUAUUUUAAUGUGUACAUGUUAAAAGAAAGGGCAGAGAGAGCAUCAGCACAGACCUCCCAAGUUACCGAACACAAGCGAUUAUUGAUGAUUUCAUGUUUGACUAUUAGUCAGUAAAGGAUGAUUAGCUGAACUGUCAGCUGAUAUUGGCAGGAGUUAAGGUCAGCUGAUGUAGUGUGGUUGGAGAUUUACUUCCUGGCUUGCCUGGACUAACACCAUGCUCAGAAUUCUUGAUGUUUUGCAAUGUGUCAAUCACAUUGUGGUAAUGGAUGACAGAGUAUUAAAACAGCAGUUCCUAUUCACUACUCAGUCUCUGUAUAGGAGAGUGUUGUUAUUGUGAAAAUCAGGUCUGUAUAGUUGGUGUUGAAAUGGUUUACUAUUGAUGUGUAACGGUUUUAUUUUUUGUAUGAUUCCUGAGGUUUAAAGCAGCCGGACCCCUAAAGGGUAGCACUGUGAGUGUGUGUUUCCGGUUAGAGCUACGGUAAACUGAUCCAGGGUCUGUUUGAGGCAUCAUUCAUCCUCAGCAGUAACAGAGCCGGGGUUAUGACUCAGUCCUGUCCUUAAGCGGCUCUGAUUCUGGCUUGAGCAGCUCUUAUUUAACUGAUUUAUUCACUGAGUUAUAGGAAAGAACAAAUCAGAGUGCCAUGAGUGAAGAGGUGUGCUUCAACACUAAAAUCAUGAGGAGUUGACAGGUCCGUGACCCAAUUUUCCAAAAACAGGAGGGGACGGACGAAGACACUAAACCAGUGAAUCAGCCAGGAGAAAAUGCUGUCUGAAUUCCUCCAGCAUGAACUAGCCUGGGUCAGAGUCCAGCACAUGGAUCCAUUUCAGUCCAGGACUCAGAGAUGAUCUACGUCUGUAAAGAUCAUCCCAGCAUCAUUUAACACAUUUGCACUCUGCAGGUCAGAGUCUGCAGGGGGGGCGGAGUCUAUCGAAGCAUGCAUCAGGUGACAGGACGAAGACACAAUGUCUAUCACAUCUGAGCUGUUAACAAAAUCAGAAAAACUCAGGAGUCUAAGGGUCAGUGAAGAUGUGAAUGAAGACAUAAAUUAAGUCCCUCCCCUAAAGGUCACAUCUAAGGGUCUAAAUCUGCUGGGAGAACUUUAAACCAUCCCAUUACCACGAACAUCAGAGAGCAGUCUGACAGCCAGGAGACCACCUGCUGCUGCAAGGUGCCAUACCUACACACAAUGUGUGUGAGUUUGUGUGUGUGUGUGUGUGUGUGCGUGAAAGAGAGAGAGAGAAAAAUAAGAAAGAAAAUGAAAGUGUGUGCAAGACCAUCCAGCUCACACAUUCCUCCUGGACACAGUCAGAGCUUUGGAGGGAGAGGAGAAAAGGGAAGGGGGGUGCUGCUGGCUUUAUGAUUGAAACCUGGUAUUAAAACGCACGCACGCGCACACACACACACACACACACACACACACACACACACACACACACACACACACACACACACACACACACACACACACACACACAAAAGAGAGUUGACAGAACUACCAAAUUCAAUGACUUAAUCCAGGUGAUUGUGAUCCAUUUUACCACAUUAGUGCAGGGAUUGGAUGCAUCCCACGUAAACAUUUGCAGUUCGGAAGACAGCAGCUGGUUAAAAGCUUACAUACAGAUGAAAACAUCAUGGUUACAGACAUUUCUUUCAGAUCGCUGUUGUAAACACACACACACACACAUAUAUAUAUAUAUGUUUGUAUGUAUAUAAAGGGGAAAAAAAGAAAAGGAAAAAAAGGUUCAUUGGCUGUGUGUCUUUGACUUUACAGCAACACCUGAUAUAACCCUGACGGGCUGAGUUAAAACAAUACAGGGGACAGAGAGGGGGCAUAUACGCUCAUUGUCUUGUUAUGCCUCUUUGUGCCUCCCUCUUUUCACAGCUGGGCACAAACUCUGCUUCUGUCUCUCUCUCUCUCUCUCUCUCUCUCACACACACACGCACACGCACAAACAAAACUACGAACCCCCAUCACUUACCCUGAAGACAUCUUUCCAGUCGCGGUGAUCCAACUACGUUGGUCCUCCUCUGGUCCAGGACUCCUGUGUCAGUGGGGCCUGAUCACACAAGAGGGAUUAUGUGUGUUUGUGUGUGUGUGUUUUUGUUUACUAAAACAACAGAGCUCCCCUGAGGAUGAACCACAGACUUGGUGUGACUCUGUACAGAAAAAUCAGCUGAUUUACUGUUGCAGAGAUCAGAGUGUGUUUGUGUAGUAUUUAUGUAAAUGCAUGUGUGAAGGCGUGUGUGUACUCGUAGGUGCAAUUUUGUGUACAUGAACAUGUCACAUGGUGUCUACUUAAAGCUGGGGUUGGUAGGAUCGGGGUACACAUCAGUUUAGAGGAGAAACAACCAAUACCCCUCCUCACCGGUUUUCCCCUCAACUUCUCAGCUCUUACCUUUUUUGUCUGUAUAACACAGUAAAAGAUUGAUUUUUACCAGGAUCCUGCCUAGCUCAGCUUAAAGUGUCCAUACAUUCACAUCAUUAGCAGACCGUCAUCUAACCGUGUCUUUACAUUGACUUUACAUUUCUAUUUUAUCAGGUCAAAACACAAAGAACUUGCUUCAGCUCUGGACCAGUCCUAGCAAAAAGAGUUGUUUUAGACCUAAUCCCUGUUAAGUGUUAGUCUGCAGCUCAUCUGUAAAAACUGUUGAAGGACUAAAUGUUGAAAUGGACUCUUGAAGUAUAGGAAAGUUUUCCCUCAGAGACUAUCAUAGUCCUCUGAGGUUUAACUUCAGUUCGUCUCCAGACUAAAAUCGUUUUUAGAGAACAAAAAUUUCUUUGGAUCAGCUGACUGAGCUGACUGCACCUCAGAGUGGGUCUGUGAUGGAGAAUCACAGACCCCCACCCAUGAUUAGUAUUUGCACUUUCUUACUCUGUUUCUGUGGUGUCCGUUCGCUGGGUCUGAGGUCUUAGGUUUGAGGUUUGGGAAUUGGGGAUUUGGGGGUUUGGGUUUUUUCCUGGAGGAACAGACCUCCCCAAAGGAGUCAAAGAUCAAGUCCUGAGAGAGGCGGGGGGGGGAGGGGGGGUCUCUGAGGUGAGAUAAAUAAAGGUGAUGACAGCUGAUGUCAUAACCAGCUGAUCUCUGCGAUCCUGCUGACGGUGUGUGAGCGUGUGUGCAUGCAAUUACAUGAUGAUUAGUGGUAAUGAAGCGUAGCUGAUGACGAGGUGAAGUCUGAUUAAAUUCAACAGAUAUCCACCGACAUGAGCAUCUGUAAAACUUCAAAAACAGCCUCAAGAGGUUCUUCACAGUAUCUCAGAAACUCUGACAUCAACAACCUGCAGAGAGGAAGAUUUACAUAUUCUACCUCACAGCAGAAUGUCAUGUAUUUAUCUGUAUAAUUUGCGUUGCAGAUCCAUCAGUGAUACCCAAUAUCUAUAAACUUUUUAUUUUCUCAUCUGUUGAGUCUGUUUCAUCCGUACUACUCGUUAAGUAGUGUUGUGUCAUUCAUAAACGUUUUGUUCAAAAGUACAGAACUGCUAAGUGAACGAUGUGAACUUAAUCACUCCAAGAACUGAUUUGUUCCUUUUUUAGUCUAGUUGCGCUCAGCCACGAGCCUGGCAUGCCGGUCGAAAGUGGAACUCUUUGGCGAACGAAACACAACCAGCCAGCCAGCCAGCCAGCCAGCCAGCCAGCGGACGGGCGGAGUCUCUUGAUUAACUCACAGCGAAUAAACGAUAGGUAUAAGUCAGUGAACAAAACAGUCAGUGAACAGCCUGUAUCAGUCAGUGAAAAAAACAGCCUGUGAAUGACAUGUGUCAGUAUGUGAACAAAACGUCUUUUAAUGACCUGUAUCAGUCAGUAAACAAAACAGUCUGUAAAUGACAUGUAUCAGUUUGUAAACAAAAUGUCAUUAAACAAGCUGUUUCAGUCAGUAAACAAAACAGUCUGUGAACAAUAUGUAUCAGUCAGUGAAUGAUACAGUCUGUGAAUGACAUGUUUAACCCUUGUGCACCCCUAGGGACCGUUUUGGUCCUUUGUAACUAUACUUUUGUGGAUAAUUUUGGCUG